rnacentral:lncRNA from 12 species
AAAAGCAUCUAUCUCCAAAAGAGGUGUAUGGAGUUUUGGAUAUGCUCAAAAUACUGACCCAGCUGGUGUGGAAAUUUCAUUUUUUCCAACUUAUGAUAAUGAAUUGAAUAAUUAAAAAAAAAUCAUAAAACAACUCCAUAUUGCAUCCAUGGAGAUUCACUAGGAAGAUUUGCACUUAAUGGAUUUUUACAUGGAAUGGAUUUUUUUUUUCCAAAGUUCAACGAGAGUCAAGACUACAUCCGUACGUGUUUAGGAGCCAAAAAUUCUAAAGCAAGGGAGAUUGAAGUGAAGAUAUGAAAACACAAAUACUUGAAAAGUUACAUUCCUGGAAAAGAGAGACACAGAGAAGCUGACAGAGAAAGCUGAUGCUCAGGAGUACACUAAGAACCUUCAGAGGGUUGGUAUUUAUGGAAAACAAAGUACUUUUUUAGGAGCCUAAAUUGCACACUGAGCAACGGCCCCAAA